CCUACGGGGCGCAGCAGUGAGGAAUAUUGGUCAAUGGGCGGAAGCCUGAACCAGCCAAGUCGCGUGAGGGAUUAAGGCCCUGCGGGUCGUAAACCUCUUUUGCCGGGGAGCAGAGGUCCGGACGUGUCCGGGCCGGGAGAGUACCCGGAGAAAAAGCAUCGGCUAACUCCGUGCCAGCAGCCGCGGUAAUACGGAGGAUGCGAGCGUUAUCCGGAUUUAUUGGGUUUAAAGGGUGCGUAGGCGGUCUGUUAAGUCAGCGGUCAAAGCCCGGGGCUCAACCCCGGCCCGCCGUUGACACUGGCAGU
rnacentral:rRNA from 1 species